UGGGGAAUAUUGGACAAUGGGGGGAACCCUGAUCCAGCCAUGCCGCGUGUGUGAAGAAGGCCUUAUGGUUGUAAAGCACUUUAAGCGAGGAGGAGGGUACUGGUAUUAAUACUACCAGGUACUGGACGUUACUCGCAGAAUAAGCACCGGCUAACUCUGUGCCAGCAGCCGCGGUAAUACAGAGGGUGCGAGCGUUAAUCGGAUUUACUGGGCGUAAAGCGUGCGUAGGCGGCUAAUUGAGUCGGAUGUGAAAUCCCGGAGCUUAACUUGGGAAUUGCAUUCGAUACUGGUUAGCUAGAGUGUGGGAGAGGAUGGUAGAAUUCCAGGUGUAGCGGUGAAAUGCGUAGAGAUCUGGAGGAAUACCGAUGGCGAAGGCAGCCAUCUGGCCUAACACUGACGCUGAGGUACGAAAGCAUGGGGAGCAAACAGG
rnacentral:rRNA from 1 species